rnacentral:rRNA from 1 species
UGAGGAAUAUUGGUCAAUGGGUGCAAGCCUGAACCAGCCAUCCCGCGUGAAGGACGACUGCCCUAUGGGUUGUAAACUUCUUUUGUAUAGGGAUAAACCUACCCUCGUGAGGGUAGCUGAAGGUACUAUACGAAUAAGCACCGGCUAGCUCCGUGCCAGCAGCCGCGGUAAUACGGAGGGUGCAAGCGUUAUCCGGAUUUAUUGGGUUUAAAGGGUCCGUAGGCGGACUUAUAAGUCAGUGGUGAAAGCCUGUCGCUUAACGAUAGAACUGCCAUUGAUACUGUAAGUCUUGAGUAUAUUUGAGGUAGCUGGAAUAAGUAGUGUAGCGGUGAAAUGCAUGGAUAUUACUUAGAACACCAAUUGCGAAGGCAGGUUACCAAGAUAUAACUGACGCUGAGGGACGAAAGCGUGGGGAGCGAACA